GGAUGUGAGGGUGAUCUGGCUGUGAUCCCCAGGGUUGAUUCCGCUGAUCUGGCUGGCUAGGCAGCUGUCCCCUUGCUCCCUCACCGCUCCAUAUGCAUUGCUCCCAAAGCUGCUAAGCCGGGGGAGCACCUCUCAUAUUGCCUUCUGCCUAAGUUCUGCCUCAAAGGAA
rnacentral:snRNA from 1 species